ACAGGUUCCGCCAUCUUCCAACAGUGUUCCCAACUGACAGGCAAGCCUUGACAAGUAGUCUUUGGAGCACAGAAUUCAGCUGAGAAUCUAUCAAGACCUGAACUUUUCUUCACUGUUGGCUGAGCCGUGGAGACGGAGCCAGCAGACACGGAGCGCUGUGGAGCUCAGCACAGACGUCCUGGGACAUACCCAGCAAGCUAACUUCCUUUCAGAGAUGCCUCGGGGUGAUGGAUGACAUCCCACAGGGAGCCAGGAAUCCCGGUUCUGGUCCAGCUUCUGGCUUCCGUGAGGUUGAACUGCAAGAUAAUAGCAGGCUUUGUUCCCAGGCUGUCUGAACAGCAAUGCAUGAGGUCCAGGUUCAGAGCUAUGACUCCUGUGGCCCUGGGCACAGUUGUGACGGUCACUUCUCCUGAGAAACCCACCGGAGUCCUGCCAGGCUCGGCUCAUGGCAGGGCUCAAAGGAAAUGCAGGGCACUGGGUUUGAGGCAAGAUAUUGUCAGAACAAGGAGGGGCUGAGCCUGCCAGUGCAGGGAGAAGGCACACACGUGAAUCUUUUUACAUCUCCUCACAGAGUGUCUCAGCUACUUUUCUCUGGUUGCUGAGAUAAAAUACCUGACACCCAGAUUAAAGAGAGAAAUGUUUAUUUAGCUCA